rnacentral:rRNA from 1 species
CCUACGGGGGGCUGCAGUGGGGAAUAUUGCACAAUGGGCGCAAGCCUGAUGCAGCCAUGCCGCGUGUGUGAAGAAGGCCUUCGGGUUGUAAAGCACUUUCAGCGGGGAGGAAGGCGUUAAGGUUAAUAACCUUGGCGAUUGACGUUACCCGCAGAAGAAGCACCGGCUAACUCCGUGCCAGCAGCCGCGGUAAUACGGAGGGUGCAAGCGUUAAUCGGAAUUACUGGGCGUAAAGCGCACGCAGGCGGUCUGCCAAGUCGGAUGUGAAAUCCCCGGGCUCAACCUGGGAACUGCAUUCGAAACUGGCAGGCUAGAGUCUUGUAGAGGGGGGUAGAAUUCCAGGUGUAGCGGUGAAAUGCGUAGAGAUCUGGAGGAAUACCGGUGGCGAAGGCGGCCCCCUGGACAAAGACUGACGCUCAGGUGCGAAAGCGUGGGGAGCAAACAGGAUUAGAUACCCGAGUAGUC